rnacentral:lncRNA from 1 species
CAUAUUUUUAUAUUUCUAACAAAUUAAACCAACUGAAGCUAUGGUUGUUGGAAUUUUUAUGGAUUAGAAUAUUUCCAAUUAUUAAAUGUGUAAAACCACCACUCCUCGAUGUAGAAAAAAUUAUUUUUGGCCAGGCGUGGUGGUGCACGUCUGUGAGCCCAACACUCAGGAGGCUGAGGCAGGAGGAUCGCUGUGAAUUUGCGGCCACCCUGGGUUACACAGAGGUCCAGGCCAGCCUGAACUACGUAGUGAAUCCCCCACCCCCCGCAAGGUGACUUGCCAAUAUGUGGAAACACGUGAAUUGACCAAAACAUUGCUGGAGGUGAAAACGAGUUUAGCAAAGUUGUCUUCCUGAAUUCAACUCCAAGUGAACCGGGCGAGGCUGCGCCACGCCUGUGAGCCCACCUGGAUGGGGCGCGGGCGGCGCGCUCUGCUGGGGUCCGCGGGAGACCGGAUGCCAUUCCCGCCCCGCAGGCAAGGAGCUGUGAAGGAGCCCGCCGGAGCCUACGCUUCUGCCCACCGCCCCUCGGCCUCAGGGUGCCAGCCGGACAGGGCUCUCUGGGCUCAGGUUUUACUUCCCCAGGUAAAAGUGACGACUCCCGAGGAGCGGAAAGCUUGUUCCAUCCUGGCACAUCCUGGGCCCGAGUGCAAAUGCUUUAUUCAGCAAAUACCUGCUUUACCACAGUAUCUGUGCCUGCGCGGAGCUGCUGGGCUGAUGCGGGACACCGAGCGCCCGAAAAGGAAGACGGACACGCACGGUGGAGGAGAGCGGGAGAGGAGGGAGCAGCCAAGGAAGACAGGGCGUGGGGAGUGGGGCCUGCACACCUUCCGUCUCCGGGAAAGGAGCUACCUUCCCCGCUCGGGCCGUGGACCGGGCUGGAUUUGGGUCUGGGAGCAGAGCUGGCAGCCACUGCUGUGCAUCUGGCUGGCUGGGAGCGGGGGAAAUGUUUCCACCGAAGACCGACCGGGGCCAGGGUAAGUGAAGAAGGCUGCAAUGUGGCCGUGAUUGAGCAACGACAGCUAAGAAUGCGGAGAAUGAGAGGUCUCCGGGGAGAGCACAAAGGCCAGAGCCUUUGUCUGAUGUGUGAGUUUUACGGUAACCUCCUAAUGUCGUCUGUCCUGUGGGAUUCCGUCAGGGGGUGGUUCAGGCACGACCCAGGCAGCAGGGAGUUUGUGUACAAGGCCACAGCAUGUCCUCUAUGUCCACAGGAAUCUUUUUAAUAAGUUUAUUGGUACAUUUUCGGUACGCAUAACGAUCACAUUCAUCCUAGGGAAUCUGUGCCCGUGCAUAAUAGAUCUUGAUUCAUUUUUCCCCUCCCUUGCCCUCCCUUCAAACCCUCUUUCCCUUCUUUACUUACAAAAGCUUUGUUCUGCUUUUUCUUUUCUAGUUUUUGUCCUCUUCUCUUUCCUUUCCCCCACUCCGCUCCCUUGUUCCCCUUCCCCUUUGAACAUUUUCUUCCUAUUUCACAAUAACUUUUGCACAUUUUGGUCCUUAUUUACACUCUUGAUUUUGCACACCAGAGAGACGAUGUGAUAUUCACACGUGUGUCCGAUUUAUUUCACUUAAGAGUAUGAACUCAAGGUGCAUCUAUUUACCUAGAAAUAUCUCAUUUAUUCUUCUUUAUGGCUGAGUAGUACUCCAUUAUAUUAAAAAAACCCCACAUCUUCUUUAUCUGUUCAUUGGCUGAUGGGCAUUUGGGCUGUUUCCAAAAUUUAGCUAUUACAAACUAUACCACUGUAGGGCUGGAGAUUUAGCUCAGUGGUUUUUUUUUUUUUUUUUUUUUUUUUUUUUUUUUUUUUUUUUUUUGCAGGUUUAAUGUCCAGUCUUCUCUAUCUCCC